GUGCCAGCAGCCGCGGUAAUACGUAGGGUGCGAGCGUUAAUCGGAAUUACUGGGCGUAAAGCGUGCGCAGGCGGUUUUGUAAGUCAGAUGUGAAAUCCCCGAGCUCAACUUGGGAACUGCGUUUGAAACUGUAGAGCUAGAGUACGGCAGAGGGGGAUGGAAUUCCGCGUGUAGCAGUGAAAUGCGUAGAUAUGCGGAGGAACACCGAUGGCGAAGGCAAUCCCCUGGGCCUGUACUGACGCUCAUGCACGAAAGCGUGGGGAGCAAACAGGAUUAGAUACCCUGGUAGUCCACGCCCUAA
rnacentral:rRNA from 1 species